rnacentral:misc_RNA from 1 species
UUAAGUUCAGCGGGUAUCCCUACCUGAUCCGAGGUCAACCAUAGAAAAUUAGGGGUUGUUGGCGGGCGACCGCCACGACCCAACAGCGAGAAGAAUGACUACGCUGAGGGGCGCGGGGACGCUGCCACUGUUUUUGAGGCCCGCCGUCGCCGGCGCGGCCCAAGACAAGCAGAGCUUGAGGGUUGAAAUGACGCUCGAAC